AUACGGAGGAUGCAAGCGUUAUCCGGAUUUAUUGGGUUUAAAGGGUGCGUAGGCGGUUUGCUAAGCGGGAGGUGAAAUGCCGGCGCUCAACGUCGGAAGUGCCUCCCGAACUGGUGGACUGGAAUGACUCUGCCGUGGGAGGAAUGUGUAGUGUAGCGGUGAAAUGCUUAGAGAUUACACAGAACACCGAUUGCGAAGGCAUCUCACGAAGGGUUGAUUGACGCUGAGGCACGAAAGCGUGGGGAUCAAACAGGAGUAGAUACCCUGGUAGUCCACGCAGUAAACGAUGAUGGCUAACCGCUGGUUGCGAUACAAUGUAAGCGGCUGAGCGAAAGCGUUAAGUAAUCCACCUGGGGAGUACGGUCGCAAGAAUGAAACUCAAAGGAAUUGACGGGG
rnacentral:rRNA from 1 species